UACCGUUAACCAAAAGGCUCAAGUAUUUCCUCUGUAAAUCAGACAGAUCAAAGGACUUGGAGCGCUUUGUAAUUCCUUAAAUUAUCACAACAGACGACGCGGUCGUUAUUUUUAAAAGGGUGUAAUAAUCUGUGGCAGACUGCUUACAGUGUUAACCUGACGCAGGGAACUACAAGUACUGUACAAGACCACGGCCGUGACAGAGGCCACACUUAAAGGAUGCCAGCCUAUUAGAAUGUUUCAAUGGAAAGAUGUUAAAAACAGGGCAUUUCUACUCAUGAUUGAUGGUUUUCAGGUAUUUCCUGAUGCUUGCUUAAUUCUCACUGAAGGAUCUGAAUAUACAGAUAAGUAUAUUUUGCACUAAUAGAGACAGAUAACCAACCACUCAUCCGCCCAGCUUGUCGUGGAAAUCAGUUAUCUCCUCAGGUUCAGAUGAGUAACAGUGCGAAAAGACAGAUUAUUAAAAUUGGUCAAAGACUGAACUACUGCUACAAGUUUGGAGUCUGGACAAUAUCAGUUUGUCAUCUAUGAGCACUGGUCGGCUCUAGGCUGUCCAGGCACAGAAUGCCCCUAACUCUGACAUGGAGAGUGCUUGCAUUCACACGGUGCUUCAGGUAAG